ACACAUGCAAGUCGAACGGAGCACCCUUGAUUGAGGUUUCGGCCAAAUGAUAGGAAUGCUUAGUGGCGGACUGGUGAGUAACGCGUGAGGAACCUGCCUUUCAGAGGGGGACAACAGUUGGAAACGACUGCUAAUACCGCAUGACGCAUUUUGAUCGCAUGGUCGAAAUGCCAAAGAUUUAUCGCUGAAAGAUGGCCUCGCGUCUGAUUAGCUAGUUGGUGAGGUAACGGCCCACCAAGGCGACGAUCAGUAGCCGGACUGAGAGGUUGACCGGCCACAUUGGGACUGAGAUACGGCCCAGACUCCUACGGGAGGCAGCAGUGGGGAAUAUUGGGCAAUGGGCGCAAGCCUGACCCAGCAACGCCGCGUGAAGGAAGAAGGCUUUCGGGUUGUAAACUUCUUUUAAGUGGGAAGAGUAGAAGACGGUACCACUUGAAUAAGCCACGGCUAACUACGUGCCAGCAGCCGCGGUAAUACGUAGGUGGCAAGCGUUGUCCGGAUUUACUGGGUGUAAAGGGCGUGCAGCCGGGCAUGCAAGUCAGAUGUGAAAUCUCAGGGCUUAACCCUGAAACUGCAUUUGAAACUGUAUGUCUUGAGUGCCGGAGAGGUAAUCGGAAUUCCUUGUGUAGCGGUGAAAUGCGUAGAUAUAAGGAAGAACACCAGUGGCGAAGGCGGAUUACUGGACGGUAACUGACGGUGAGGCGCGAAAGCGUGGGGAGCGAACAGGAUUAGAUACCCUGGUAGUCCACGCUGUAAACGAUGG
rnacentral:rRNA from 1 species